rnacentral:misc_RNA from 1 species
AGGUCGUGCACGCCCAAGCACUUUCAUACAAUCCACUCUUUCCCCUUUGUGCAUCACCGCGUGGGUCCCCCUUGCGGGAGGGCUCGCGCUUUUCACAUAAAACUCGAUACAGUGUAGAAUGUUCUUUUGCGAUCACACGCAAUCAAUACAACUUUCAACAACGGAUCUCUUGGCUCUCGCAUCGAUGAAGAACGCAGCGAAAUGCGAUACGUAAUGUGAAUUGCAGAAUUCAGUGAAUCAUCGAAUCUUUGAACGCACCUUGCGCCCCUUGGCAUUCCGAGGGGCACACCCGUUUGAGUGUCGUGAAAUCCUCAAAAACCCUUUUCCUGUCAGGAAUGGGAUUUUUGGACUUGGAGGUUCAAUGCUUGCCUUUCACUUUUGAAAGUGAGCUCCUCUCAAAUGAAUUAGUGGGGUCCGCUUUGCUGAUCCUUAACGUGAUAAGAUGCUUCUACGUUUUGGAUCUAGCACUGUCCCUUGGAUGCCUGCUCCUAACUGUCCCACACGGGACAAUGAUGGUGCUCUGGUCACCGCCAUCUACAUUGGCGGGAGGCUGGACCCACAAAACGAAAACCUUGACCUCAAAUCGGGUGAGACUACCCGCUGAACUUAAGCAUA